rnacentral:rRNA from 1 species
GACAGAGGGUGCGAACGUUGUUCGGAAUACUGGGCGUAAAGCGCAUGUAGGCGGCAGCGCAAGUCGGGCGUGAAAUCCCACGGCUCAACCGUGGAAGUGCAACUCGAAACUGACGCAGCUAGAGUCCUGGAGAGGAAGGUGGAAUGCUUGGUGUAGAGGUGAAAUUCGUAGAUAUCAAGCGGAACACCGGUGGCGAAGGCG